GAGGGUACAGCUCAGUGGUAGAGUAUGUGCCUAGCAUGCACAAGGUUCUGGGUUCAAUCCCUGUUACCUCC
rnacentral:tRNA from 1 species